rnacentral:rRNA from 1 species
UUUCUCGCCAAAUGACGACUUCUACCACAUCUAUUGACAUUAUGGGUCUGCAAGCUGCUUAUGCUAAUUUGCAUACUGACCAAGAACGUGAUUACUUCAUGCAGCGUUACCAUGAUGUUAUUUCUUCAUUUGGAGGUAAAACCUCUUAUGACGCUGACAACCGUCCUUUACUUGUCAUGCGCUCUAAUCUCUGGGCA